rnacentral:rRNA from 1 species
UUGUCCGGAUUUAUUGGGCGUAAAGAGCGUGUAGGCGGUCUGGUAGGUCCGUUGUGAAAACUCGAGGCUCAACCUCGAGACGCCGAUGGAAACCAUCAGACUAGAGUCCGGAAGAGGAGAGUGGAAUUCCUGGUGUAGCGGUGAGAUGCGCAGAUAUCAGGAAGAACACCCGUGGCUAAGGCGGCUCUCUAGUACGGUACUGACGCUGAGACGCGAAAGCGUGGGGAGCGAACAGG